CAUCCAUCUGAUCCAGAACCUCUAAUACACACUCACACACCUGCAACACCUGCUGUGCCUCAGGACUGUCUAACGGCCUAACACAUACAGAAUACACCAGACAUUGUCAAAAAUGGCACAAGAAGCAACCUUUUGUGUAUUUGUGUGAGUCCUAUGAUUAUGUUGAGGUUACCAGCAACGGCUGGCAUGUUUUUACCAAGGAUGGGAUAACCGUUCCUCAUCUGCACCAAAACACAAAACAAACAACAGCACAGAAGUCUGAUGCGCUGACAGAGAUUGACCUCCUCCUGGAACAUGACCAGCAGCUGAGAGUAGUUUGGAGCAAAAUGCUGGUGAACCUUCGGCCUCUCCAGCAGAGUGCCAAACAUCUGCAGGAGCUACAAACACAGGCUUUCAAUGUUAAAGACUUAGAGACAGGGUUUUCUCACACACUGAACUAAAUCAUGACAAUAAUAAAUCUUGUGUUUUGC